AACACGCAUACUGUAUAUUUUAUUCUUCUUCUCAAAUUGAUUCAUCCCAAAUUUAUUUUACUUCUCAACACCUUUUCCUGUUCACCGCCACCUUCGACGAGAAUAACAACACCUUUCAUGUAUACCCAUGUUCGAUGGUUGCAGCUCUGUGAUUCGCAAAGGUACAAAGACUCGCGAUGUGGUCUCGGUUCUUAUUUUUAUGCAGGAACCCUUCUAUUCAGUGGAUGAUUACAUAAAUCACCCCCACCGUCUUUUUAAUCUAAUUCACGAUUAAAACUUUCUCGUUCCCUCAUGAACCCUAAUUUUCUUCAAAUCCUAAGUUCAAUGGAUCCAAGCUUCGAUUUCCGGUGGUUCACGAAUACCAAAUCCUUCUCAGCAUCUCAAUUAGCAAUUUUGUGAAUUUGAUGCUAUGUGUUUCUUGCUUGCUAUACAAAUGUAUCCCCAUCAGUUCAAGUAGAUGAUCCUUAACUUAUAUGGUCUCAAUCUAUUGCUGACUUACUUGACUUGGACAAUAAAGAGUCAAUACUCUAGUAUUAGAUCCAUCAUGUUGCUUUUGUUAUUGCUUCUGUUCCAAUUACGAAAUUCAUUCAUUUGAAUAUCAGAUUUGAAAGGCCAAAUUUUCCCCUUUUCUUCUCUGGUGCAACACCUUUGGUUGGAGUGUCGCCUUAUGCUCAGUGCUACGGUGGACAUCAAUUUGGUAUGUGGGUUGGCCAGUUGGGUGAUGGUAGGGUAAUUACGCUUGGGGAGAUACUCAAUUCAAAGUCUGAAAGGUGGGAACUGCAGCUUAAAGGUGUUGGGCAGACUCCUUACAGUCGCUUUGCCGAUGCCUUGCAGUGCUCCGUAGCAGCAUCAGGGAGUUCCUUUGCAGUGAAGCGAUGCAUCACCUGGGGAUACCGACAACCCUUGCUCUUUAUCUUGUGAACACUGCAAAGUUGGUCACUCGAGACAUGUUCUACGAGGGCUAGACACAGGAAACUGAAAGGCACAAGAUAAAUCUUUAGAAGUUCCCUCGAUCUAAACAUCAACCACAAUGGAUUUUUAAUUUGUUGUAGAGAUUUGCAAGCAUUAGAACUAAGUUUUAGAAUAUACUAUUCCUCUGUCCAUUAUUUAUAUAAGCUAUAUUCUAAUUUGUAUUGACUUUUUGUGUCAUUGAUUCUGAGUGAUAUUACCCAACAAA